rnacentral:rRNA from 2 species
AAAUUGAAGAGUUUGAUCAUGGCUCAGAUUGAACGCUGGCGGCAGGCCUAACACAUGCAAGUCGAACGGUAGCACAGAGAGCUUGCUCUCGGGUGACGAGUGGCGGACGGGUGAGUAAUGUCUGGGAAACUGCCCGAUGGAGGGGGAUAACUACUGGAAACGGUAGCUAAUACCGCAUAACGUCGCAAGACCAAAGUGGGGGACCUUCGGGCCUCACACCAUCGGAUGUGCCCAGAUGGGAUUAGCUAGUAGGUGGGGUAACGGCUCACCUAGGCGACGAUCCCUAGCUGGUCUGAGAGGAUGACCAGCCACACUGGAACUGAGACACGGUCCAGACUCCUACGGGAGGCAGCAGUGGGGAAUAUUGCACAAUGGGCGCAAGCCUGAUGCAGCCAUGCCGCGUGUAUGAAGAAGGCCUUCGGGUUGUAAAGUACUUUCAGCGAGGAGGAAGGCGUUGUGGUUAAUAACCACAGCGAUUGACGUUACUCGCAGAAGAAGCACCGGCUAACUCCGUGCCAGCAGCCGCGGUAAUACGGAGGGUGCAAGCGUUAAUCGGAAUUACUGGGCGUAAAGCGCACGCAGGCGGUUUGUUAAGUCAGAUGUGAAAUCCCCGGGCUCAACCUGGGAACUGCAUUUGAAACUGGCAAGCUUGAGUCUCGUAGAGGGGGGUAGAAUUCCAGGUGUAGCGGUGAAAUGCGUAGAGAUCUGGAGGAAUACCGGUGGCGAAGGCGGCCCCCUGGACAAAGACUGACGCUCAGGUGCGAAAGCGUGGGGAGCAAACAGGAUUAGAUACCCUGGUAGUCCACGCCGUAAACGAUGUCUACUUGGAGGUUGUGCCCUUGAGGCGUGGCUUCCGGAGCUAACGCGUUAAGUAGACCGCCUGGGGAGUACGGCCGCAAGGUUAAAACUCAAAUGAAUUGACGGGGGCCCGCACAAGCGGUGGAGCAUGUGGUUUAAUUCGAUGCAACGCGAAGAACCUUACCUGGUCUUGACAUCCACGGAAGUUUUCAGAGAUGAGAAUGUGCCUUCGGGAACCGUGAGACAGGUGCUGCAUGGCUGUCGUCAGCUCGUGU